ensembl:snRNA U6 U6 spliceosomal RNA
GUGCUCACUUCAGCAGCACAUAUACUAAAAUUGGAACGAUACAAGGGAAGAUUAGCAUGGCUCCCAUGCAAGGAUGACACACAAACUCGUGAGGCAUUCUGUAUUUAA